rnacentral:rRNA from 1 species
CCAUUGAUACUGAUAUUCUUGAAUAUAGUUGAGUUGGCCGGAAUGUGUAAUGUACCGGUGAAAUGCUUAGAUAUUACACAGAACACCAAUUGCGAAGGCAGCUCACUAAACUAAUAUUGACGCUGAGGCACGAAAGCGUGGGUAGCAAACAGGAUUAGAUACCCUGGUAGUCCACGCUGUAAACUAUGAUCACUCGCUGUUGGCAAUACAUCGUCAGCGGCUGAGCGAAAGCAUUAAGUGAUCCACCUGGGGAGUACGGUCGCAAGAUUGAAACUCAAAGGAAUUGACGGGGGCCCGCACAAGCGGAGGAACAUGUGGUUUAAUUCGAUGAUACGCGAGGAACCUUACCUGGGCUUAAAUGCAGAGCGACGUCCGCCGAAAGGUGGAUUCCUUCGGGCGAUCUGCAAGGUGCUGCAUGGUUGUCGUCAGCUCGUGCCGUGAGGUGUCGGGUUAAGUCCCGUAACGAGCGCAACCCUUAUCGUUAGUUGCCAGCGGGUAAUGCCGGGGACUCUAACGAAACUGCCGGUGUAAACCGUGAGGAAGGUGGGGAUGACGUCAAAUCAGCACGGCCCUUAUGUCCAGGGCUACACACGUGUUACAAUGGUCGGUACAGAGGGCAGCUACCACGCAAGUGGAUGCUAAUCUCGAAAACCGGUCUCAGUUCGGAUUGAAGUCUGCAACUCGACUUCAUGAAGCUGGAUUCGCUAGUAAUCGCGCAUCAGCCAUGGCGCGGUGAUACGUUCCCGGGCCUUGUACACACCGCCCGUCAAGCCAUGGAAGCUUGGGGUACCUGAAGUCCGUAACCGCAAGGAGCGGCCUAGGGUAAGACAAG